CCCUUACUGCAUUAGAAAUGGGCAUUAGAAAUGGGACUGAAUGUUGGGUCCAUCUAGCAUCCUGGGGCCUUGAUUAUAAAUACAGUUUGUAAAAUGGAUUACAGAAGCAAAUGAAAGAUUGUUUACCGGCAUCUUAUUUGGUGGGGAGGAAAUGUAAUUCAGUACAGUAGUAGCCCAGGUUUUGUGGAGACAGAGGUACAUUGGGGAAAGCUGGGGCUAGGAGUUUCUUAUUGGGACCUUUAGUAUAUGGGUGAAUUUUGUCAGGGUCUGGUAUGCGGAAAGAUUCAUAGAAGUAGUUGUCAGCAGACAAAAGAGAUUUGUCAGCAAACUAAAAAUCUCAUACCCUGAGACAGUGAUGGAGGAAAGAAACUUGUCAGGAAGGUUUUCUAGAAGAUGCUGCAUUCUGCAGUGGACAUUUUCACAGCUGAAAAAUAAGUGGCAACAUCCUAAGUACUCAUAAUAUCAAGGUGGUAAAAUCCUGCUCUGCUUUUGAGCAAGAUGAUAUAAGUGAAUCAAUACAUUCAUGCUAUUAAGGUUAUAGGUUUUUACAGCUUUCACUUGCAUGAAAAAACAUGUUGUCUAUGCUUCUGCAGUUCUCAGGGCAGUGAACCUAAGCCAGGAGCUGCUUAGGCAUUAAGGCUUCUAUACCCAGAAUCGUGUGCUAAGCUUUCUCUCCAAGUCAGCACAACAAAGCAAACCAGAGCAUCGUACCAACAACCUGAAAGGUCACCUGACUCCUUCCUUCUCACUCCCAUUCUGUACUUCUGCAUACGUGGGCAGGCAAGUGAAUGGUAAGUAAGCCUGCAAACAGCCUUUCUUUGUAUAGGGAAUGACAGGCAUUUCAUCAGCAACUCCAGGAUGGCAGGCCGUUAUCCUGAAACCUAUCAGAACAGCUCCUGCUUGGCUUCCAAAAUAUCACAAUUUUGGAAAUGUACAAAGGUUAGUUUUCACAGUCCUUGAAGCCUCUUUCCACCCUGGCCAUAGCCCAUGUCAGCAGUAACCUAUGUCUUUGUUUUACAUAUCAUGUUGUUUUACUCACCUGGUGCCUCCAGUGCCCUAUAGGGUCCCUGAGCUGUCCUGAUACUCUUUCUUAGAUCCUGUCAAAACACUCACUUCAACAAAUUCUGCCCUUGGACUCUGAUGGGAGGUUCUGAUAAAGAAAAUUAUUGAAAACCGCAUUAUUUAAAUGUGGUUAUAUUUCAGCUGGACCUGGAAAUAAAGACGAAAUACUGCUUCGUGACUGUGCUUUAAGGAAUUUUUGCUUCUAGGAGAUGAUUGUGAGCCAGGCAGAGGUGAAGGAGCAGGAGCAAAUAGCCAAGGCACAGUUCACAGUGCUGGAUUUUCUUGUGGAUAUAGCUGCAUUGUUGUUCCUUCUGCCUUGUCCAACUGCUUCCUGGUAUCCCUACCCUCACCUUUUCGUUAUCUUUUCAUCUCUCUAAUCAUUGAGAAAAAGAGUACAAAAAGCCAGAUUUUGCAGUUCCCUAUUUUGUAUUCCAGGUUGAAGAGUGCUCUGGCUGUAGAGGGUCCCCACGAUCUGUCAUCUAGUAACUCACCAGGUGGGUUUUGGAUUGAUUUCAGAGAGCCCAAGACAGUUGCCAUGCUUACACAGUUGUGCCAGGAGAUGCUGACUUUCUAAUGUCAUCAAUACAUAAGAUAUUUUGCCUGCUAUGAAGCCAUUGGAGAAUCAGGUCCAGCUGUGUCCUACAGAUUUAUACCCUCACUUUGGAUGCACUGUGAAUCUUGAAACAAGUAUGUAAAUAGAAUCCAGCCCCUCUCUGCCACAGCCUCAGAGCAGGAUUGGUAACUCCAAAAGACACCAGGACACAUCCUAAUUUUCUUAAAUUUUAUUCAUUUUAUACUUAACCCUUUAAGUAUAAAGUAUAUACUUCAAGUAUAAAGUGUAAGGUUGCUUCAUUUCAUGGGCCCACCCAGGAUUUAAAGGUGUAUUCCCUGAAAGCUAGAAUUGGUUCCUUCCGGUGGGUUCCUGGCUGACUUCAAGAAUGAAGCUGCAGACACUUAUGAUGCCAAACCCUUACUGCAGCCGAAAAGCAGGCAGUUCCUGAUAUUAGAAAAAAGCUACAGAAACAGGCUAUAGGACCAGAUUGUAUCUUGAAGAACCUCCUGAAUGUGGCCUCAUUGUUCUCUUACAAUAGGACUGGGAGGAGGCCCACGAGAAAAACAGGAAGAACAAGAGAAAGGCUGAGGCUCUAGUGGCUGCUUUGCAGACUUGCAGAGUCCAGGAUCCCCCAGGAACUUCCACUGAUUGCUACCUGUUACCAGUGUUAAAGCCAGGGCACUUUAAGAAGAAUUGCCCAAGCCACAAGAAAAAGCCACCUUGACCACUUUUGUGGUGAAGACCACUGGAGAUUGCACUACUGACCACCAAGACAGAGGUCAGUGAGUACGGAAUCAUUCUCACAGAUGCUCCAGCAGGACUGAUGGGUUCUGGGGCUGAAACCCCUGGUUCCAAUGGUUCAAACAUCCAUUACUGCUCAGGAGUCCUGGGUGAUAAUGGAAAUUGAAGGGAGGAGGGCAAGCCUCCCACUGGAUUCUGGAGCCAGUCUUUCUGUUCUCCUCACCAAUCCAUGCCUCUCCUCUUCCCAUGUCACAACACACAAUAGCGAAUCUAGAAGUGGAAGUGUGAGAGAUACCUGCAGCUGUUAAGAUGUCUGGGAAUAGACACACAAACUCUCUCUCCCAGAUAAGCAACACAAAGCAGCACAGAGCAACAGAGACUGAAAGUCUGCCUACCUGAUCAGGGAAUAAGGUGAGAGUUGAUAAAGACUCUGCUCUAUACAGAAAGCAUACCUGGUUCCAACUAAAUCAUCAGGUUUUAUGAGGAUAAGACAUCCUCUCCUCACUAGUGCCCUCCUCAUUAGCCCAUUUACAAAAACCCUGAGAUUUUAGCACAGCUUGGCAACCUACUCAGGGCUCCUCUCUAUGCUGAAGAGCUGUUCUUUUUGUCUAUUAAACUCCUGCUCUAAACUCAUUCUAUGGGUGUGUGUAUCCACAGCCUUGAUCCACUUGGCUGUGAGACUAAGAUCCUUGGUAUUUACCACAGACAAUUAGGUUGUUUCAGAAAUUUCCUGUUUAAA
rnacentral:lncRNA from 10 species